AAUAUACUCCCUCCGUCCCAAAAUAAGUGUCUUAACCUUAGUACAACUUUGUACUUAAGUUAGUACAAAGUUGAGACACUUAUUUUGGGACGGAGGGAGUAUAAU
rfam:Triticum aestivum genome assembly, contig: Triticum_aestivum_CS42_TGACv1_scaffold_641084_T_4AL-0.202501_2AL-0.177896